rnacentral:rRNA from 1 species
AUUGAACGCUGGCGGCAGGCCUAACACAUGCAAGUCGAGCGGAUGAAGGGAGCUUGCUCCUGGAUUCAGCGGCGGACGGGUGAGUAAUGCCUAGGAAUCUGCCUGGUAGUGGGGGACAACGUCCGGAAACGGGCGCUAAUACCGCAUACGUCCUGAGGGAGAAAGUGGGGGAUCUUCGGACCUCACGCUAUCAGAUGAGCCUAGGUCGGAUUAGCUAGUUGGUGGGGUAAAGGCCUACCAAGGCGACGAUCCGUAACUGGUCUGAGAGGAUGAUCAGUCACACUGGAACUGAGACACGGUCCAGACUCCUACGGGAGGCAGCAGUGGGGAAUAUUGGACAAUGGGCGAAAGCCUGAUCCAGCCAUGCCGCGUGUGUGAAGAAGGUCUUCGGAUUGUAAAGCACUUUAAGUUGGGAGGAAGGGCAGUAAGUUAACACCUUGCUGUUUUGACGUUACCAACAGAAUAAGCACCGGCUAACUUCGUG